GCAGAGGUGGUUCAGUGGUAGAAUUCCCGCCUUCUACGCAGGAGACCUGGGUUCGAUUCCUGGCCCAUGCA
rnacentral:tRNA from 1 species